UACGAAGGGGGCUAGCGUUGCUCGGAAUCACUGGGCGUAAAGGGUGCGUAGGCGGGUCUUUAAGUCAGGGGUGAAAUCCUGGAGCUCAACUCCAGAACUGCCUUUGAUACUGAGGAUCUUGAGUUCGGGAGAGGUGAGUGGAACUGCGAGUGUAGAGGUGAAAUUCGCAGAUAUUCGCAAGAACACCAGUGGCGAAGGCGGCUCACUGGCCCGGUACUGACGCUGAGGUGCGAAAGCGUGGGGAGCGAACAGG
rnacentral:rRNA from 1 species